UUAACAAGUAUCAUGUAAAUUGAA
rnacentral:miRNA from 1 species